rnacentral:rRNA from 1 species
CCGGCACGGGUGAGUAACACGUAUCCAACCUGCCGUCUACUCUUGGACAGCCUUCUGAAAGGAAGAUUAAUACAAGAUGGCAUCAUGAGUCCGCAUGUUCACAUGAUUAAAGGUAUUCCGGUAGACGAUGGGGAUGCGUUCCAUUAGAUAGUAGGCGGGGUAACGGCCCACCUAGUCUUCAUGGAUAGGGGUUCUGAGAGGAAGGUCCCCCACAUUGGAACUGAGACACGGUCCAA